rnacentral:rRNA from 1 species
AUACGUAGGGUGCGAGCGUUGUCCGGAAUUACUGGGCGUAAAGAGCUCGUAGGUGGUUUGUCGCGUUGUUCGUGAAAUCUCACGGCUUAACUGUGAGCGUGCGGGCGAUACGGGCAGACUAGAGUACUGCAGGGGAGACUGGAAUUCCUGGUGCAGCGGUGGAAUGCGCAGAUAUCAGGAGGAACACCGGUGGCGAAGGCGGGUCUCUGGGCAGUAACUGACGCUGAGGAGCGAAAGCGUGGGGAGCGAACAGGAUUAGAUACCCUGGUAGUCCACGCCGUAAACGGUGGGUACUAGGUGUGGGUUUCCUUCCUUGGGAUCCGUGCCGUAGCUAACGCAUUAAGUACCCCGCCUGGGGAGUACGGCCGCAAGGCUAAAACUCAAAGGAAUUGACGGGGGCCCGCACAAGCGGCGGAGCAUGUGGAUUAAUUCGAUGCAACGCGAAGAACCUUACCUGGGUUUGACAUGCACAGGACGCGUCUAGAGAUAGGCGUUCCCUUGUGGCCUGUGUGCAGGUGGUGCACGGCUGUCGUCAGGCUCGUGUCGUGAGAUGUAGGGUUAAGUCCCGCAACGAGCGCAACC